UCUUCAUUUUUAACUGGCCAGGCCCAGUCCACUUCUGGACCAACCCGGCCCAACGACCCCUUUAUUUCACUAACUUAAACCAAACACACCUUAUUUGUGUGUUGAGAAGGGUUUCACCUGAAACCCUAGCGUCGUCGUCUCUUUCUUCGGUCAUCAUGGCCAAAGAUGGCAAAGUUUCAGGUGAAGACGCCUUUUCCCAAUCUAUGUUUGACCAUUUGAGGUAAAGGCAUUAAUUGCCUUCACCUUCUCUCCUCUGCACCAUCGCGGUUCAACCGCAAAGAGGUAAAAACUCCUCUUUCUCUCUCUAUUUUUUUUUGUCCAAAACAAGGACAACAUUAAUGAUAUUUGUCUCAUUGUUUAUCUAAAAGCUUCAAUUUUCAUUGGUUCACACGGAUUCACAGGGAUUCAAGAAGAAUCCUUCACAAAAUCUGAAAGUACCACAUCGAAAUUGAACUAAGAAUUGGGGUUAUGUGGGCUUCUAUAUAAAGAACCCCAUUUCUACCAUUUACACACACCUUACAAGCCUUAUAUUCACUUAGUAAAAACUCAAUUUAACUGGGGUUGCUAACAUUGCUUAAAACCUUGACCUAAUCGAGUUUUUAGUCUAAAAAUUUUAAUUUUUUUCUUUCUUUGUAUGGCUGAGUUUUCUGGUGUUAGGAAACAAUGGAGCAUUCCAGUUUCAUUCUCGACCAAGGCUGCACAGAAAAAAGGUUAGGAAGCAAUUUAAAGAGAACGUAAGAAUGAAUCUCGUUGAUCAAUUUUUAAUUGUUUAGUAUAAUUACAAAGCUACGGAGAAAUAAAGAGAUGGCAGGUAUACAUCUUUCUGUUACGAAGAAAGUACAAGAUAUCAGUAAAGGAGCUUUUUCACCAAGCCAUAUAAGGGCUCUUGGUGUGAAGAGCAAUAAUCUUUUUCCUAUAGCAGGUAUACAUUUUUAUGGGUUAAUAUUAAGAAACAGGUAAGUAUUGAAUUUGGUUUGUUUGAAAUUCAGUUUUGUACUAUUAGAGGCAGUUUGACCAAAUAAUUGCUACGAGCUGACACAAAGUAUUAUUGUUAAACUCAUUCAUUGUCCGAAAGCAUGUUCACACUUCUUUAUGAGGACUGUAGCUUUAUACAUUCAA